rnacentral:rRNA from 1 species
AGUAGAGCGGCGCACGGGUGAGUAACGCGUAGAUGAUCUACCCUUGAGACUGAGAUACCUCCGGGAAACUGGAGUUAAUACCAGAUAACGCACAUUGAUUGGUUUUGAUGUGUUAAAGCGGAGCAAUUCGCACUUGAGGAUGAGUCUGCGGCCUAUCAGCUAGUUGGUGGGGUAACGGCCUACCAAGGCGAAGACGGGUAGCUGAUCUGAGAGGAUGAUCAGCCACAUUGGGACUGAGACACGGCCCAAACUCCUACGGGAGGCAGCAGUAGGGAAUAUUGCGCAAUGGGGGGAACCCUGACGCAGCGACGCCGCGUGAGUGAUGACGGCCUUUUUGGUUGUAAAGCUCUGUAAAGAGGGAAAAAUGUUUACGUGCAGAGCGUAAAUUGAUGGUACCUCUAAAGUAAGGACCGGCUAAAUACGUGCCAGCAGCCGCGGUAAUACGUAUGGUCCUAGCGUUGUCCGGAAUGACUGGGCGUAAAGGGUGUGUAGGCGGAUGUAUAUGUCAGAUGUGAAAUACCUCGGCUUAACUGAGGCAUUGCGUUUGAAACUGUACAUCUUGAGCAUGUCAGGGGUAAGCGGAAUUCCCGGA